GCCUGGAUAGCGCAGUUGGUUAGAGUGUGAUGCUGUUAAUGCCAGGGUUCUAGGUUUGAUCCCUGUAUGGGACA